AAUAGAUACCCCGGUAGUCCACGCCGUAAACGGUGGGUACUAGGUGUGGGUUUCCUUCCUUGGGAUCCGUGCCGUAGCUAACGCAUUAAGUACCCCGCCUGGGGAGUACGGCCGCAAGGCUAAAACUCAAAGGAAUUGACGGGGGGCCCGCACAAGCGGCGGAGCAUGUGGAUUAAUUCGAUGCAACGCGAAGAACCUUACCUGGGUUUGACAUGCACAGGACGCCGGCAGAGAUGUCGGUUCCCUUGUGGCCUGUGUGCAGGUGGUGCAUGGCUGUCGUCAGCUCGUGUCGUGAGAUGUUGGGUUAAGUCCCGCAACGAGCGCAACCCUUGUCCUAUGUUGCCAGCGGGUUAUGCCGGGGACUCGUAGGAGACUGCCGGGGUCAACUCGGAGGAAGGUGGGGAUGACGUCAAGUCAUCAUGCCCCUUAUGUCCAGGGCUUCACACAUGCUACAAUGGCCGGUACAAAGGGCUGCGAUGCCGUGAGGUGGAGCGAAUCCUUGGUAAAGCCGGUCUCAGUUCGGAUCGGGGUCUGCAACUCGGACCCCG
rnacentral:rRNA from 1 species